AAGGCGUUGAACGGUGCCACACUGCCCUGCAAGGCGGAAGUCGCAGGUUCGAUUCCUGUAUCGCC
rnacentral:tRNA from 1 species